rnacentral:lncRNA from 1 species
CAGCUGUGUUCUGGAAUCCCAUGUGAGGGAUAAACUCUCAGAACCCAGCAGCAGUGUUCUGUAAUCCUAUAUGAGUGAGAAACACUCAGAACCCUGCAGCAGUUUUGUAGAUUCCACUGUGAGAUACAAACAUUCAGACCCUCGUAGAAGUGUUCUGGAAUCCUAUGUGAGGGAAAAACUCUCAGAAACCUGCAGCAGUGCACUGGAGUCCCUUGUGAGGGACAAACAAACACAACUGAGCAGCAGUGUUCUGGAAUCCUUUGAGAGGCAAAAAUAUUCAGACCCUCGUAGCAGUGUUCUGGAAUCCUAUGUGAGGGACAAACACUCAGAACCCAGCAGCAGUAUUCUGGAAUCCUAUGUGAGGGACAAAUAUUCAAACCACCGCAGAAGUGUUCUGGAAUCCUAUGUGCAGAACAAACAC